GACAGAGGGGGGCAAGCGUUGCUCGGAAUUACUGGGCGUAAAGGGCGCGUAGGCGGGAUGGCAAGUCGGUCGUGAAAUCCCUCGGCUCAACCGAGGAACGUCGAUCGAUACUGCUGUUCUUGAGGAUUGCAGAGGAGACUGGAAUUCCCGGUGUAGCGGUGAAAUGUGUAGAGAUCGGGAGGAACACCGGUGGCGAAGGCGGGUCUCUGGGCAAUUCCUGACGGCUGAGGCGCGAAAGCGUGGGGAGCAAACGGG
rnacentral:rRNA from 1 species